AGAGUUUGAUCCUGGCUCAGGAUGAACGCUGGCGGCGUGCUUAACACAUGCAAGUCGAACGAAGCACUUUACCGGAUUUCUUCGGGAUGAAAGUUUUGUGACUGAGUGGCGGACGGGUGAGUAACGCGUGGGUAACCUGCCUCAUACAGGGGGAUAACAGUUAGAAAUGACUGCUAAUACCGCAUAAGACCACAGGAUUGCAUGAUCCGGUGGUAAAAACUCCGGUGGUAUGAGAUGGACCCGCGUCUGAUUAGGUAGUUGGUGGGGUAACGGCUCACCAAGCCGACGAUCAGUAGCCGACCUGAGAGGGUGACCGGCCACAUUGGGACUGAGACACGGCCCAAACUCCUACGGGAGGCAGCAGUGGGGAAUAUUGCACAAUGGGGGAAACCCUGAUGCAGCGACGCCGCGUGAGCGAUGAAGUAUUUCGGUAUGUAAAGCUCUAUCAGCAGGGAAGAAUUAAGACGGUACCUGACUAAGAAGCACCGGCUAAAUACGUGCCAGCAGCCGCGGUAAUACGUAUGGUGCAAGCGUUAUCCGGAUUUACUGGGUGUAAAGGGAGCGUAGACGGAGAGGCAAGUCUGAUGUGAAAACCCGGGGCUCAACCCCGGGACUGCAUUGGAAACUGUUUUUCUAGAGUGUCGGAGAGGUAAGUGGAAUUCCCAGUGUAGCGGUGAAAUGCGUAGAUAUUGGGAGGAACACCAGUAGCGAAGGCGGCUUUCUGGACUGUAACUGACGCUGAGGCACGAAAGCGUGGGGAGCAAACAGGAUUAGAUACCCUGGUAGUCCACGCUGUAAACG
rnacentral:rRNA from 1 species